rnacentral:lncRNA from 1 species
GCUCAGAUGCGCCGCUUUCCACGGGACCUUUGUUGGGCCUUUGUGAAGCGGCUUGGAACCUAAUAAAUAACGUCAGAAGUCUGCCUCGCAGCCAAAAAUGUUCCUUUCGCAGCAUUUCUAAUGGUAUUUUUGUUCUGCAGCGUCUCCCAGUGUCACAAAGCAUUUGUGCCGCGCGGCGGGGGUGGGUGCGCCGCGUGCCGCCGGGAUGGCCUGCGGGGCCCGGCCGCCGGCGGGUUCACCCAGGCAGGUAAGGGCGGCCCGCCGGCCUGGGGCUUCCGAGGCCUGUAGAACGGCCAGGGCAGGCUGCAAAACACAGCCGAAAGCCUGCGAUUUAACAGUUCCCGUGAAAUUUGAUUGCUCCUCGGGCGCCAGGGGAGUUCUGCAGGAUGGCCGAAGCUGGAUCCUAGUUGGAGGUCUCGGAGCACUGGGAAUACUGUGA